AGCAGCCGCGGUAAUUCCAGCUCCAAUAGCGUAUAUUAAAGUUGUUGCAGUUAAAAAGCUCGUAGUUGAAUUUUGGGUUUGGCCGAUUGGUCCGUUCUUGUAACGAGUACUGGUCGGUUGGGCCUCACCGCUUGGUGAUGCGUAAUGCCCUUUAUUGGAUGUUGCGAGUAGCCAAGACCUUUACCUUGAAAAAAUUAGAGUGUUUAAAGCAGGCAUAUGCCGGAAUACAUUAGCAUGGAAUAAUAGAAUAGGACAACGAUUCUAUUUUGUUGGUUUCUAGGACCGUUGUAAUGAUUAAUAGGGAUAGUUGGGGGCAUUAGUAUUCAAUUGUCAGAGGUGAAAUUCUUGGAUUUAUUGAAGACUAACUACUGCGAAAGCAUUUGCCAAGGAUGUUUUCAUUAAUCAAGAACGAAAGUUAGGGGAUCGAAGACGAUCAGAUACCGUCGUAGUCUUAACCAUAAACUAUGCCGACUAGGGAUCGGGCGAAGUUGUUUCAAUGACUCGCUCGGCACCUUAUGGG
rnacentral:rRNA from 1 species